rnacentral:misc_RNA from 1 species
AGGGCGGGACUGCCACAGCUG